AGGGGAACGGCGACGCUCCCUGGAGAGCGUGUGCAGGCUCACCGCUUGCUCUCUGGGGUCACAAGCCCUGGCCAUGCUCCCGGGCUUCAUCUCUCCAUGGGGUCCCUGUCCUGACUCCCCAGUCUGGACGCCUAGAGACAGAGCUACACGCCUUCUCUGUAGGGUCAGAGAGGUUAAAAUCAGCUUGUCAAGUCUCAUGAAAAACCUGGUGAAGUUUUGUUGGAAUUGUAUUAUAAUGGAUGAUCAAUUUGGAGAGAUUUGACAGCUCCGGAAUAUGAAGAAUUUCUGGCUACAAAUAUGAUCCUGAAUUCCAGUGGAAUGGCUGAUACCAACCAGCAUGAAGAACCCCCCAGAGGAGCCCCCCCAACAUGAAGACCCCUGCAGAGAAGCCCAGUCAGGAUGAGAAUGAGGUUUCUUUGGCUCCUUGUCUCAUGACUCCACCCUAUGCUCUUUGACCAGUCAAGGAUCCCCACACCUCGGCCCACUAUUCAUCCAAACCCCUGAAAAUCCCUACUUCCAAACUCCUUGGGGAGAUGGAAUUGAGGUUUCCUUCUGUCUCCUCAUUUGGUUGCUUUACCAUGAAACCUCUUUCUCAGCUGCAACUGGGUAACUUGGUGUAUUGCCUUGAUGCGCAUCGGGAAACAAACUUGGUCUUGUUACAUGGGUUCUCCUUGAGUAAAACCAAGGACAGAGCAGACAGGGAAGCAUGGCUUAGUGAAGGAAAUUUAUCAGGGGCCCGAACUGAUUCAAAUCAGGGAUUAGACUAUCUGAAGAAAUAGAUUAACCGAGUAGUUUUUGAAGGGUCCUCCUGAAGCAGCUACGUUGUCUGGCGUAAAUACACAGGGUUCAUUCCCUCAGUCCUCUCAUGCCAGGAAAAUUUAGGACGAGAACACACAUGAGGAGUUUAGGAGUGGAGGUUUAAUAGGCAGAAGAAAAGAGAAAGAAAAACAGCUCCCUCUCUACAGAGAGAGGGGUCUUCCAAGCAGAAAAGACCUGCUGGCAGCGGAUGCACCAGAUUUUAUAGUCCAGCUUGAGGAGGCAGUGUCUGAUGUAUGUAGGGCUCACAGAUUGUUUCCAUCAGGUGUGACAUUUACAUGGGGGUGGGGGCGGAUGUGAAGGUUGGUUGCCCCACCCUUAUGCAAGUGAACUCUCCCCUAGGCCUGCGCCAUCUUGUCUGCUCCUUCUUGAACACGUGGCUGACAGAGAAGGGAAGAUGGAGAGGCCAUCUUGAACAUAUCUAGUCCCUAGUUACUGCAGGGACUCAGCCAUGCAAGCUCCCAGCUUGCUUGCCCAUGUCUGCAGCUCGACUUUCCACACUGCUCUUUGUUAGAAAAUGAUUUGAAGCUGCUUUUCAUUAAAAAGUAAAAGCCUUACCAAGGACUCCCACACCCUCACUAUCUGCCUAAGUGAUUUCCUCUCAACUCCUACAUCGUUCCCAAAAAUGUCUUUUCAAUCAAGCUAGUAUAUGUACCAUCAAUCAAUAAUUGGAGGUUGACCACCUGGGAAAAGCUGGGGCUUGCACUGAAAAUUGGGGCCUGAUUCAUAUGCAGCAGAUGGGAUAGAGAAGCUGAAGUUCAUGUGUAGGAGGGGUUUGUCUGUGAAGGAGCCUAUAUGUCCUUCUCAGAAAGAAAGUGGGACCUCACAGAACUUUUUCACCAAAGUUGUUCUUUGCCUGUUCUACCUACUGAACAGAACCAUCAGUGAAGACUCCAUAGAACACGAAUAUGAUUAUGGCCUAGGAAAUUUUGAGUAGUUAUUUUCAUGUGUCAGACACCACAGGAAAAUCUCAAUGAUGCUUCUACUGGGAAUCUAAUUUUGAAGGACACCAUGUCACUUCCCGCUGGAAUGAACUCAUGGCCGACCAUGAGCAUCUCCAAGCCUGCAAUUUGGAGCUAGUGAACAUAGACCCAUAGAAUUUGAAAGACAGCUGUGAAAAUGCUGCCUUGGCUUUAGAACUGCUGGUUUUGAUAUUUUUUUAAGGCACAUGUUAGGGUGCAGGUUCUUCUACUUAAUGACAACAAGAAUAUAUUUUCAACAUGCAAACAACCAGCUUUCUGUAGCAGGGACAUCAAGAUAACAUUCCUGAUGUUAAGAUAUUUAUUAUGAAAGAAGAGCAGGAUCCCAGCCCUGCUUUCUUCAUCUCAGGUGUAAUGGGGCCCGUCAGCUGCUUUGUAGCCCCCAUUCCAGGAUGCAGGCUGCCCUUAACUCCUGGGUCUCCGUGAUUACAGAAGCAGCAAUAACUAGGUGCCUCUUAUAAAACUGUUUCUUUUAACCUGGACACAGAGACAAAGGGCAAGAAAGGAUCGAUUAAAGCUACACAAAGUGUUUCUUUAGUUGUAACCAACUUUUCAGUAAGACGUUAGGAAACUUGGUGCCCAUGAAAUACGGUGGGGCUCUCUCUCAGCAUACUGGGAAGCCUUGGAGGGCUUCAAAUGGGAAAACAGUAGGACUUUUGGUUUUGAAAAAGUGUUCUUGCUGCUAGGUGAAGAAUGAAUAUGAUAGGGGCAAGGUCUCUAACACUACGUAGGAGUGGCUUUCAGGUCCCAGAAUGAGAAGUAUCUAGGGCUUUUAUAAAAUUUGAGGCUGCUUUAUUAAGACAGAGCUGGAAGAAAUGUUGCAGGGGUAAAAGAAUGUAUCAGAGUAAUAGUAUUCACAAGUUUUUUUUUCUUUUCUUUUUCUUUUUAUUUUU